rnacentral:rRNA from 1 species
AGAUUGAACGCUGGCGGCAGGCCUAACACAUGCAAGUCGAGCGGUAGAGAGGUGCUUGCACCUCUUGAGAGCGGCGGACGGGUGAGUAAAGCCUAGGAAUCUGCCUGGUAGUGGGGGAUAACGCUCGGAAACGGACGCUAAUACCGCAUACGUCCUACGGGAGAAAGCAGGGGACCUUCGGGCCUUGCGCUAUCAGAUGAGCCUAGGUCGGAUUAGCUAGUUGGUGAGGUAAUGGCUCACCAAGGCGACGAUCCGUAACUGGUCUGAGAGGAUGAUCAGUCACACUGGAACUGAGACACGGUCCAGUCUCCUACGGGAGGCAGCAGUGGGGAAUAUUGGACAAUGGGCGAAAGCCUGAUCCAGCCAUGCCGCGUGUGUGAAGAAAGGUCUUUCGGAUUUGUAAAAGCAACUUUAAAGUUGGGAGGAAGGGCGAAUUAACCUAAUUAACGUUAGUUGUUUUGACGUUACCGACAAGAAUAAGCACGCUAACUCUGUGCCAGCACG